GGGAGAAGUGUGAAGCAGACAGCCGCCUGCAAUUAUCACCACACCCCUUAAGCCCCGCUUCACAGAGGGCUAGGCUUAAGAACAAAGGGGCUGGGUUCCGCCAGCUACGUCUGCGUGACAGAGUGAAUGGCCAGUUCAGUCCCAACCCAGUCACCUGGAAGGCUGACUAGCAAUCGGUAGGAGAAACCAGGACUUCAAGCCUGAGGCAUUGAGUAACCACGCAUACGCAUUUAAAGGGAUCAGGAAAAAGGGAAUGGGAUAUUACUCGGACAUAAAAAGGAACGCCAUGAUGUGGAUGAAACUUGAAAACAGCACGCUAAGAGAAAGAAGCCAGACACAAAAG